UGAUAAUUAGUUUAAUCCAAAACAAAUGAUUUCGACUCAUUAGACUACGACUAAUCUCGUAAUUAUCAA
rnacentral:tRNA from 1 species